UGAGGAACAUGACCUUCGGCGGGGGAUAGCCGGCCCAACGGCCGGGUAAUACCGCGUACGACCAUUAGGGGACAUCCCCGAUGGUGAAAGCAGCAAUGCGCCGAUGGAGUGCCUCGCGGCCUAUCAGCUAGUUGGUGAGGUAACGGCUCACCAAGGCGACGACGGGUAGCUGGUCUGAGAGGAUGGCCAGCCACAUUGGGACUGAGACACGGCCCAGACUCCUACGGGAGCAG
rnacentral:rRNA from 1 species